GACGAACGCUGGCGGCGUGCUUAACACAUGCAAGUCGAACGGAAAGGCCCUGUUGGGGGGAGGUGAGUGGCGAACGGGCGGGUAAGACGCGCGUAAGUUGCCCUUGACUGCGGGAGAGCUUCCGUAAAGUGGGGGUAAUACCUGAUAGAAAGGAGCUCUGGCUGGAGGGGGGUGGUAAGAUAGUGUGGGCUGGGGUGGACGUGCGGGCUGUCAGCUUGUUGGUGGGGUUGGGGGUUACCUAGGCUUUGGCGGGUAGCCGGCCUGGGGGGGCGAGCGGCCACAUUAGGACUGGGAUUCGGCCCCGGCUCCUACGGGGAGCCGCAGGGGGGGAUAAUGCACCAUGGGCGGGAGCCCGGUGCAGCAACGCCGCGGGCGGGAAGGCGGCCUUCGGGUUGGAAACCGCUUUCCGCAGGGGCCGAGCUGGUGGUGACGGUACCUGCAGAAGAAGCACCGGCUAACUACGUG
rnacentral:rRNA from 1 species